rnacentral:misc_RNA from 1 species
AAGAAAAUGAAAUUUAUGGAAGUUCUCCCAAUUUCCUCUUCUCAAAAUUCAAACCUCCACUCCAACAACAAUGGUCACUCAUGCAAUUUUAGGGAUUUAGUCUUGUUUUCUUUGCUAAUUUCAAUUUCUCUCCCAAUCAGAAAUUUCUCAAUCUCUCUCUUUCUCUCAAAUUUGCGGAAAAGGGGUUCCACAGCCUUUUGAGAAGAGAUCUUCAAUGUCUAUGCAAGAGGAACAAAAACCCAGCCUAUACGACCAACGUUGCUAUGGCAGAUGUUCUCAAAUCUCUUGAAAGUGUAAGUUUUCUUCAUCUGAUUCGCUCAAUUUCAUUUUGAAUCCGAACAAUUUUGUGUAUCGCUCACACUCACAUCAUUAACAAAGAUUAAAAGUUUUAUUGGAAGAUUUUAAAGUUUGUUGAUAUACUCUUAUAGUAUUUUUGGGUAUUUUUUGGUAUAUGUCUUGUGUGCCUUAUGAGAAACGAUGAUCUCCAGUGUCUGGAAGAUUAACUCGGACGAAAGCCUUACCUUGAGAUUUAGCUUCAGAGUCCUUGACAAAAGUUAUAGGAAAUUCAAUUAGCUUUCCAACGACGGUAAUUUCAGGGCAAUCAGAGCAGUACUUCAAGAUUUAUGACCGAUUUAGUGCACACAUAUCAAUAUGACGCGUCUAAAAAGUUUAUCCGGAAACUUCAAGAUUUCAGACAAGAAGUUGUAGCGACUUAGUGCAGCGGGAUCAGUACAUCAAUAGACUUUUUCAUGAUAAAAUUAUGGGCAGCAUUACUGAUCGAAGAUUUUAAUAACUGGAAUGUGAAAACUGAUGUAAUGGCUCGGGUAUGCUCUUACACUCUAAUGUGAUCUAUUUUUAAAUUUUCUGUUUUAUGCUAAGUAGAAAUUUCAGAACUUUGUGUAAUGAUCUAUCGUGAUGAAGUAUAAUUUGGUGUUAAAAGACUAUAGGCAUCAUGUUUGUUUUGUAUGAAAUGUGUAAUAGGCAAUCUUUUGGGUUGUGAUGUAAUUUUUUUUUGUAAGAAGAGACAUUCAUUUGAAAUAUAUUGGGAGUGAAUGCG